GCACUGCUAAGGAGUCCCAUACUAGGACGAAACGGCCGUCCAGUGC
rfam:Schistosoma margrebowiei strain Zambia genome assembly, scaffold: SMRZ_contig0000040